GGAGGAAAAGAAACCAACAGGGAUUGCCUUAGUAACUGCGAGUGAAGCGGCAAAAGCUCAAAUUUGUAAUCUGGCGUCUCCGGCGCCCGAGUUGUAAUUUGGAGAGGCACCUUCGGGGGGAGCGCCGGCCUAAGUUCCUUGGAACAGGACGUCACAGAGGGUGAGAAUCCCGUGUUCGGCCGGCUGCCUUCUUCCAUGUGAAGCGCCUUCGACGAGUCGAGUUGUUUGGGAAUGCAGCUCUAAAUGGGUGGUAAACUCCAUCUAAAGCUAAAUAUUGGCGGGAGACCGAUAGCGCACAAGUAGAGUGAUCGAAAGAUGAAAAGCACUUUGAAAAGAGAGUUAAAAAGUACGUGAAAUUGUUGAAAGGGAAGCGCUUGAGACCAGACUCGGCCGGAGGCCAUCAGGCCCGGUUCUCCGGGCUGCACUUGCCUCUGGUCGGGCCAGCAUCGGUUGCGACGGCGGGAUAAAGGUCCGGGGAAUGUGGCUCCUCUCGGGGAGUGUUAUAGCCCCGGGCGCCAUGCCGCCUGUCGCGACCGAGGACCGCGCUUCGGCUAGGAUGCUGGCGUAAUGGUCUUCAGCGACCCGUCUUGAAACACGGACCAAGGAGUCUAACAUCUAUGCGAGUGUUCGGGUGGAAAACCCUUGCGCGUAAUGAAAGUGAACGGAGGUGUGAAGCCGCAAGGCCGCAACAUCGACCGAUCCUGAUGUCUUCGGAUGGAUUUGAGUAGGAGCAUAGCUGUUGGGACCCGAAAGAUGGUGAACUAUGCCUGAAUAGGGUGAAGCCAGAGGAAACUCUGGUGGAGGCUCGCAGCGGUUCUGACGUGCAAAUCGAUCGUCAAAUUUGGGUAUAGGGGCGAAAGACUAAUCG
rnacentral:rRNA from 1 species